rnacentral:rRNA from 1 species
UACGAAGGGGGCUAGCGUUGCUCGGAAUGACUGGGCGUAAAGGGCGCGUAGGCGGAUGGCACAGUCAGAUGUGAAAUUCCCGGGCUUAACCCGGGGCUGCAUUUGAUACGUGUUGUCUAGAGUGAGGAAGAGGGUUGUGGAAUUCCCAGUGUAGAGGUGAAAUUCGUAGAUAUUGGGAAGAACACCGGUGGCGAAGGCGGCGACCUGGUCCUUGACUGACGCUGAGGCGCGAAAGCGUGGGGAGCAAACAGG